rnacentral:misc_RNA from 1 species
GGUUUAAUCACCCAAGUUUGA